GACGAACGCUGGCGGCGUGCUUAACACAUGCAAGUCGAACGGAAAGGCCCUGCUUUUGUGGGGUGCUCGAGUGGCGAACGGGUGAGUAACACGUGAGUAACCUGCCCUUGACUUUGGGAUAACUUCAGGAAACUGGGGCUAAUACCGGAUAGGAGCUCCUGCUGCAUGGUGGGGGUUGGAAAGUUUCGGCGGUUGGGGAUGGACUCGCGGCUUAUUAGCUUGUUGGUGGGGUAGUGGCUUACCAAGGCUUUGGCGGGUAGCCGGCCUGAGAGGGUGACCGGCCACAUUGGGACUGAGAUACGGCCCAGACUCCUACGGGAGGCAGCAGUGGGGAAUAUUGCACAAUGGGCGGAAGCCUGAUGCAGCAACGCCGCGUGCGGGAUGACGGCCUUCGGGUUGUAAACCGCUUUCGCCUGUGACGAAGCGUGAGUGACGGUAAUGGGUAAAGAAGCACCGGCUAACUACGUG
rnacentral:rRNA from 1 species